rnacentral:rRNA from 1 species
UACGUAGGUCCCGAGCGUUGUCCGGAUUUAUUGGGCGUAAAGCGAGCGCAGGUGGUUUAUUAAGUCUGGUGUAAAAGGCAGUGGCUCAACCAUUGUAUGCUUUGGAAACUGGUAGACUUGAGUGCAGGAGAGGAGAGUGGAAUUCCAUGUGUAGCGGUGAAAUGCGUAGAUAUAUGGAGGAACACCGGUGGCGAAAGCGGCUCUCUGGCCUGUAACUGACGCUGAGGCUCGAAAGCGUGGGGAGCAAACAGG